CUGCGCAGCCUCACCAGUGUCGGCAAAGCCUCGGCGCCCACCGCGCUAGACCGCUGUGUCGACUGAGCAUGCGCAGUAACCAGUGACGCCUCCGGGAUUUUCCCCCCCUCCCUGUGGUAUAACUGGGCAUGUGCAAUUGUUUUGCGCAUGCUCGCUCGUUGCGCGCGCUAGAGCGCAGACUAGGCUGCCCGUCAGCGGCCUGCGUGAGGAAAAGGCUCCGGGGCCGCAAACGCGGGAGCCCCCGGAAGGACCCGUCUGAGGUGCCCAGGAAGGGCGCUUAAAGUGGGGGAUAAAGAGAGGCGGCUUCUGCGCGCUCCUCCUUGGGCGGCGCAUCUGGCCCGCAAGUCCCGUGCCUGGCUCUGCCUUUCCUCGGCUGGCCCGGGGCAGCCUCGAGGGGGGAGGACGAAGUCAGUGCUAUGCCCGUUUGUGUCCUUAUCUCAUUGUAAAACCGGCUGAGCUAGACGCCAGCUCCCUCUCGGCGGAGGCAAAAACACCUCGAUGUGCUCAUACCUAUUCUCCUUCCACACGGAGUUGUGUCCCUUGGCAGUGAAAGGUUAAGCUGUAGUCCUCUUGAGCUAGUACUUCUGUAUAAUUUCAACACGUGUGUGCCUUGAGUUAAUGGAAUAAGAGGACAUCAGGAGGAGAGGAGCUCACUCCAUCUGCGACCUAGGGCGGCAACAAAGGAAACGACAGGAGCUGGACCGCGUGUGUAUGCAAAAUGGUGCGAACGCCGUGAGAUGCCUACCGUGCAUGCAAAAUCUGGCUAACUACUGCUGCUCAAAACUCCAAUCUGUGGCGCCAGGACGAGGCCAUCACCUACAGUGGAGCACCCAUGGGGACAUCAUCAAAGAAGAAGAAGUUCUUCCUCAUGAAAUAUGUCUCUGGCCGUUCAGUAUCUUUUUGCUUUUCAGCAUAUGUUUUGCCAACAAUAUCCUCAUGCAGAAAAUACAUCUUAAAUACACAUUUAUACAAAUCAAAUUGGCUGUUUGAAGAUCAGUUAGAACAUGAGAAGGUAGUGCAUUGAAGCCUUCAUAUGACAUACAUUCUCUGAGAAGGGCUAUUACAUCCUUUUGGCUCAAAUUAGGAGCAACACACAAUCUAGCCAUUCAAUUAAGUGCUGUUUCCCUUGUGCACGGGCCCAUCAUCCUCAUUGCUCCAGUUUGUCCUGGGGUCAAUGUUUUACUUUCCUGCUUACCUAUCAGAGUGUGGUUACCACCAUAAGAGAUUACUGCAGCAAGGACUGGGGCAGGGACCUCCUACUGCCAUCCCUCCUUCAUCACUUUCAGGAGCAGAUGGCUCCUCUGGGUACUUUCCUCAAUAUGGAGGCAAUUGGUCUUCCUCAAAAUCCAUAUAGAAUUCCCCAGUUCCAUAAGCUGCUAAUAGGUUGGUUUGGAUAGCACAUAUCAUACCCUUAGCUGUCUGCAGCUGCUGCUUUAAUUUAUUUAUUUGUAAUUGACAGACAGCAUGAUUUGAUUCUACCCAUGGGGCACCAACCUCCCUCAUUAGCUGUCUCAUAGCAGCCUGAGGUUCAGCUAAUUGAUGUUCUUUUAAACUGGCAUCUUUCUUAGCCUCUGAUACCUAUAAAUGCAAAUCUCGCAGUUGUUCAAGCUGUGACACUUGCAAUGUUAAGCUGGGUACCACUGCAGAUGCUAUUUGAUUUUCCACAGCCUGCUGCUGGAGUUUUACUCCCAGCUCCCACUUUUCUCCCAGCAUUGCUUCCAUUUGAGUUUUCAGUCAGCCCAUUUCGGAGUUCAGCUCCCAGCUGACCAUAGCUAAGCCAUAAAUCAAGGCACAUUUUGUUGCCUUUUUACUGGAGGUUGGUUUAGCAGUGACAUAUUACACCCAAAGUACAGUAAGUUUACUUAAGGAGUCCUCCCCACCAAGGGACUCUCAUGUCCAAGGAUUCUUUCCCUUCAUGAAAUGAUCCGCACUGAAUUCAAUUGAUUUUUUAUUACACCAGGUGGUCCAUCCUUGGAGGCUAAACACAUGUUCCGCCAUCAA